GUAGAAAGUUUCUAGAAACAAACUGAACCCUUUUUCUUCCUGGAAGUUCAAUACACAACAAUCUUCUUCUUCUUCUUCACUGCAAUUCAUCACCUUUUUCACUGCACCUUCAUCAAAUUUGAACCCUUCAUCACCUUCGAAAUUGGUAAAGCUUGAAACCCUAACUUUCAUAGAAAUUCAACUGCUUCAUUCAAACUUGAAAGAAUGAACCGUUCCCUUCGCUGCAAACCUGGGGGUCUUGCUCCUCUAAGCGGGGACAAUUCAAGAAGAAUUAAGAGACGAACCGUUCCCUUCACUCAUUCAUUUUGUUAAUUGAUUGCGUUAAAUUCAACAAGGUUGCUGAUUUUGGACUGGCAAAGUGGCAGUCUAAUGGACUAAUGGAGACACCAGAGUGGAAACUAGAGUUAUUGGGACAUUUGAGUACACUACUACAUUUAGUAAGAGUAGUUAUAGAGACGUUUGAGGCAUGUAACUGUACUUCCAGGAAAAGGCUCUGAUAGAGGAAAACAUCAAAUCCAAGGGAUUCGUGCUGGUAUCAUUUCGCCUGUCUUGGAAGUUGAUCUCCUAGAAGAAGUUAUUCAGGUAGCUUGCAAUACUAAUACAUUGGUAUUCAAUUAUCAAUUAUGAUCAAGAAAAUCCACCUCAAGCAUUAGUGAAAGAAGCAAUUGUUGAUGAGAGAUUUGAGCUAUCUCUUUUUUUAAUCAUCUUAUUUUAAUUAUCAUUAUAUUUGUUGUGGUAUUAUAUUGCUAUUGCAAGUUUUUAGUUUGAUAAUGAUUAAAACUUUUGUAACAUUGUUGAUAGUGGCAUGUUUUAAGAGAGAAGACUUGUUCUUGUGAUGCAUUAUAUAUAGUCAAUAAGUUAAUGUCUUUAACUAAUGUCUUUGAUUGUUUUACAUUCCAUUCACUAAGCACUUCAUUCAGUGGUUAUAAUUUCAAAAUCAAGCUUGAAUUUUUAUGAUCUUACUUAUUUUCUGUGUAUAUUGCUUUGAAUUAUUAAUUAGCAUAUAUUGAAUAAUGCUAGGAAAGGUUCUUUAGAACAGUAUUUAAAUUAAUAUUUUUAGAACGCAAUUUUUUUUAAAAAAAUUUGCCAUGCUUUUUAAGUCGGGUGAAAUAUAACCGAUCUAAUAAGCUGUUUCUUAGGUCAGUUCCAAAUCUGUGUUAACAACUCAAUACUUCUUAUGUCGGCUUUUCUUAGGUCGGACGCGAAACCGACUUAAAAGGUCACUUUAAACUGACCUAAGAAGUGUUUUCUUAAGUCAGGUAAUAACCGACUUAAAAAGUCAAGACUUCUUAUGUCGUUAACUGUUAAGACAGGCACGGAACUGACUUAAAAAGUCAUUUUUAACCGACCUAAGAAGUGUUUUUUCCAC